ensembl:snRNA U5 U5 spliceosomal RNA
AGCUCGAGUUUCUCUUCAUUGUCGCAUAAAUCUUUCGCCUUUUACUAAAGAUUUCCGUGGAGGGAGCUUUUGCGAGUGACCUGUAUUUUUGGGGGCUCUGCUCACAGCAGAGCU